GGGGUUGUAGCUCAAUUGGUAGAGCGUCUGUUUUGCAAGCAGAAGGUCGAGGGUUCGAUUCCCUUCUUCUCCAC
rnacentral:tRNA from 1 species